GGGUUGUGAGGUUAAGCGACUAAGCGUACACGGUGGAUGCCCUGGCAGUCAGAGGCGAUGAAGGGCGUGCUAAUCUGCGAUAAGCGCCGGUAAGGUGAUAUGAACCGUUAUAACCGGCGAUACCCGAAUGGGGAAACCCAGUGUGACUCGUCACACUAUCAUUAACUGAAUCCAUAGGUUAAUGAGGCGAACCGGGGGAACUGAAACAUCUAAGUACCCCGAGGAAAAGAAAUCAACCGAGAUUCCCCCAGUAGCGGCGAGCGAACGGGGAGGAGCCCAGAGCC
rnacentral:rRNA from 1 species